CUCUUCUUCCUGCGUGAAGUGUACGCAGAGGGCAUGGCUUCUCAGCUGUUCCUGUAAGCAGAGGCUCUUUCCACCCAUCUGGAGAUUUAGAUUCUAGAGUUUGGUAUCACAUUUGCCUGCAGAUUUGUUAAGAAUGCAGACAGGGAAGACGGAUUCUGUUCAAUGACCCCCUUCAAGACUCCAGUGAAGUUCAGGAUCUGGCAGAGGGGAUGGAUUUAUAUAGAAGUGAGGCAACUGAGCCACAGAGGUAUUAAGCCCAAGGUCACUCUGCCCAUGAAUGACAAAGCCAGUUGUGAACAGCCUACAACCGGAGCCUGGGCUCUUAAAUAUCAGGCUUUGCUGGCUUUGAUAAGUAGAUCUUUAUAUGAAAGCGAGUUCUUCCUCAUUGCGAAGGCACAUUCCCUGUAUGGAUAGGAAAAUAACACAGCACUGAAGUGUCUGCUAGGAUGGAAAAGUAAAUAUGAAAAAACCAAGGCUAUGCCAAAAUGCUGAAUUAGAGUACGUUCAAAUCAUAGCUACUCCAUAGGCCCAACCAGUAUAAGCACUGUUCCUGAUCAGUAAACCUAGAAGCGCAUUCUCCACCUGGAGGAUCUAGUGAGGUUUAAUCAAAAUACUUUGUGUGAAAGUGCCUGUUGUCUUGUAGAGACCCAGUAAAUGUUUGAUUUCUUGAAUAAUACAA